AAAUGAGUUAAGAGUUUUCUGUUUUGUCCAUUAUAACAGAGGUACACUACGAUUCUUAUCCAAUCUUUUUAUACCAAACAAUUCUUACAUUCCAAAUUUUCGAAGCGAUUUGUCCUUGAGGUCUUUGAUCAAAACAAUCAAAACCUAGACAAAUCACAAGUCUGUGUUUGUGAUCUAACAUCAUGAGUCCGUGAUGGAAGUGAAACCCAAAAAUCCUAAACCUUAAGGAAUUGACGGGGAACCAUGUUCCAGAAAUUACGAAACAUUUGUUUCAGUACCUUUUAUACUCAAAAUCAUAUUCAUUUCUUUUGAGUGAUCUUAAUCAAACAUUCGAAAACUACGAUGUUUGUUCCCAACAAGAUCCAGCAUAAAUUUUUUUUAUGAAUAUGAUUUCUGUGUGAGUAUAUUUCGAAAAUUCUAGUUACUUUGAAUAUCAUUCGCAACCAAGUUGUCACUGACUACAUUGGUUAUACAACUAAUUUUGUUUACAAUUUAUCACCUUAUGUUAAGGUUGAUAUGUAACGAAAUUUUCGAAGCCACCCAUUUGCCCUAUAAAAGAAACCCCUCGAAACUUCUCUACAAGUUAUCGAUUGUAAUUCACGGGAAACCUAGCAAGCUGUCAAUUAUCUCUCUUGAUAAUUUUCGAAGAUAUCUUUGCCUGGGAUUAAACUGUUUUUGUGUCAAAAUAAAUUUUUGACAUCACAAGUUUUCAAAAAAAAAAUUUCUUUGUUUCUCAACUAAGUUCUUUUGGAACACAGCACACACGAAAUCCUUGAGGUUUGAGUAAAACCAACUUAAACUGAUGAUUUCAAAAUUCUGGCAUAUGACUUCGCUUUCUAAACCUCAAAGUGAAAGAGCCUAACCUCUAUUUCGAAGGCAUCCGACGGUUACAAUUCUCUUGGGGAAUACCAAACAGUCUUGUCUCUUGGUGACGCAUGGUGUAUGAUAAGUGUGUAAGGCGUGUUGACAGUUACGUUUGUUACUUUUUGAUGAGUACAGUCCUAUUUCAAGGUGCCAAGUCAGCAAGUAUUUAUUGUAUCCCGCUUCAAAUUCAAAAUUCUAGGGUUACAUAUAAAAGGGGAAAUCAGAAGUCAAUAACACUUUAUGCGAUCAAACCUUCUGUAACACAAAAUUCUCUUUGCAACUCAUCUUCUUCAAACAUUCUUUGCUCUUCUCAUCAACAAUAGCGACUGCAUCAUCACCAACCACAGACGAAGUUGUUAGCAUUCCGAUUCUGAAAAUCCAAGGUUCAAACUACCAAGUAGAAUUGGAUUUGUCAAAGUAUCCGGAGGAACUCUAAAUUCUUGUGGUUGCUUUACAAAAUUCAGUUCUGUCUAAAGCAAUGUUUGAUUCUUUUGCUGCUCCAAUGUCUUGGCUAUCACAGGCGGGUUCUAUUGCAUCAUACAACAAGGAGACAGGUUGUGUGGAAUUCACUAUGGUGAAUGAUACGAGAAUUAGGGUAUCCAAGCGUUUGUUUUGCAAGAUUUUGGGAAUUCCAAAUUCUGGUCCUUAUGAUGAACUUUCUUCUUCUCAAGUUGUGUUCAUGUUCAACGAAAUGGGCCAUCAACCACCUUUGACGCGUAUCAGUGAUUUCAAGAAGUCUGGGUUACCUACGGUAUGGAAUUUUUUGUUUGGCAUUUUCCUUCGAUGUCUUACUGGACGAACUGUGGGUAUUGAUAAAGGAAGGAUGGAGGUGUAUGCAAUGGUAGCUGGAUUGUAUUACGAUCUGCAAGUAGAUUACUCUGGACAAUUGUGGACAGAGUUUUUAACUAGCAUUUCAAAGACGAGUGCCAAGCAGGGGAUUUCUUGUGCUCGUUAUUGGAGUCUGAUAGUACAAUAUGUUUAUCAGAAGGAGAAAAUCGAAGUUCCGAAAUACGAAGAAAAAGCGGUGUUUCACAUGUAUGGUAGUCCGAAGGAGGUGCAUGAUGAUCCGACUAUCUUUACAACAAUAGCUCAGAUUCCGGAUGCAAUGCUUAAGAAGGUGGAUCCGACGAAUAGUGUUUUGGUGUCAUAUUUUCAAUCUAUUGACACAACUGUCGUUACUGGUAUGUUACAGCACGAAGAGAAGAAGAAGUCUAAGAAAUCGAAGAAGACAGAGGGUGGGUCUUCGGAAAAAGGGGUGAAGGCAGAAACAAUGAACCAAAUGCCAAUAGCUACAUCUGGUACUGUCGAAGAGGUGUCUCCAAUUUUAACCUCAGUGGUUGAUACACCAAUAAUCGAAGCGUCUCCAUCGAAAGACGGGUGUUUUUCGACGUAUCAAAAUCAAGAGAAAGUCUCAGAUGGUGAAGAAAACACAAGUCACACAUCAAGGGGUCACAGUUAGGGAAAUUCCAGCUCCGGUAUCUCCAUCGUCUAAGAAACGAAGGGCUGAAGAUCUUGCAAAAUAUUUGAAGAAAAACCAAAGAAUCGAAGAGGUAGAGCAAGUUCCUGAGACACCAGAGAAUGAAAUUCCAAAAGCAAUAGAUAUCAGUCAGCCUGCUGAUAUUUCGAAGCCUGAUGAUGUGAAGCUUAUUGAACCAACUUCUUUACCCCAGGUUACAUCAACAACGGAUUCUCCAACAUUUCAAUCAAUUAUGGAUCAACCAUUUACCACAAUAUUCUCAACUCAAUCAACUGAUCCACCCCAUCCAUCCUCACCUAUUGAUGAAACCAUGGCUGUUGAGGAUGAAACUGAUAACGAAGGCUUUGGAGGAAUGUUCGAAGCUCUUCAUUUUGAUAAAGCCGAAGAAGAUUUUCCUGAUCAUAUGCUGAUGACCAUGAAGCAGUUCAAGAUUUUGAAUUCAAAAUUGAAUUCUAUCUUGCAAUCUCAAGCAGAUGUGGGCAGUGCUGGAGUUACAACCAUGGAAGUUGAUUCAAUAAUGAAGGAAAUGGAAGGCAGGGUAAUUUUGAAGGCAUCAGGAUUAAUUCGUGAUUCAGAAAGUAGAGUUCUUGAGAAGAUUUAUCAAAAUGAUAUUUCUACAGAGAAUCAAAUCAAUUCCCUGAGGUCUGAUUUUAUGAUGGAGGUGAAGGAUUUGAAGAUUGUUACGAAGGAGCGUCAUGUGCUCUUCGUACAAGAAGUCAAGAAGGUACGUGAAGAUGUUAACAUGCAAAUUCGCGAACUUCGUGAAGACAUGACGAAGGAGGUUCAGAAUAUUCAACAAGGUUAUGAAUCAGCACAUCAGAAGAUUGACAUUAUUUGUGAUGCGGAUGUACAAUGUGUCAAAAUGUUCGAGCAGAUGAAUCCUCAAAUGACCUCUCUUUUUGACAAAGAAGAACAAAAUUUUGGAGAAUUGGUCAGUUGGCAAUCGAAGAAGCAAACAUGUGUUUCGAUAUCUACAGCUGAAGCUGAAUAUGUUGCUGCAGCUGCGUGUACAUCACAAAUAAUUUGGAUUCAAAGUCAAUUACGAGAUUAUGCAAUUAAUAUGAAAAAGAUUCCUUUAUAUUGUGAUUCACAAAGUGCAAUAAGAAUUUGUCAUAAUCCUGUGCAGCAUUCGAAGACUAAGCACAUUGCUCUUAGAUAUCAUUUCAUCAAAGAUCAUGUUGAAGAAGGGAAUAUUGAAGUUCAUUUUGUAAAAACAACGGAACAAUUGGCAGAUAUUUUUACAAAGGCAUUGGAUGAAAAAUCAUUUAUUCGUAUCAUAGAAGGAUUGGGUAUGAUUAAUGGAAAUUCAAUCACAUAUGAUAAAAGCGAAGAGUGAUGGGUCUGAAUGAUUUGGUACAAUGACGGACAUAUUGAUUAAGUGUUCAGAGGUUACUGUUCAUGGUCAACGCUUCGAAUGCUUCGUAUUCGGAAGCUUUAUUUCUUGUUGAAGUACAUAAUCAGAGAUUACUGUUCAAGUCAACGGUUCGAAUGCUUCGUAUUUGUACACAUUUCAACUAAGGUUAGACUUUUAGUUUGUUUAUUUUUUCUUGUGAAAAACCUGAAAAAUCAAAAAUAUUUUCUUGUAUUGAAAAAUUAAAAAUCCAAAAAGAUUUUGUUUUGGUUUGUUUUUAUUUUUUUGAAAAAUUCAAAAAUACCAAAAAUAUUUUUUGUUCUCUUCGGUUUUAACAUGUGUAUUGUGAGUUUUGUCAAGUUUUAAAUACGAAGGAUUCAUGUGUCUGUUUUCUAUGGAAAGGUAUGAUCUCGAUACACUUUGGAUUAGUUAGGAUGUCCCUAGAAGCAUGCUGCUGCAUGUUGUCUCAAGCCUCGUAUGAUUCUAUGUAUGGGAAAUGAAAGCCUUGAUGAAAUUAUCUCAUGAAAAUUUCUUCCCAACAAGGCUUGUAUUUGCAUAAAUCAACAAGAGCUACCUUACUCUUCUCAAAUGAGUUAAGAGUUUUCUGUUUUGUCCAUUAUAACAGAGGUACACUACGAUUCUUAUCCAAUCUUUUUAUACCAAACAAUUCUUACAUUCCAAAUUUUCGAAGCGAUUUGUCCUUGAGGUCUUUGAUCAAAACAAUCAAAACCUAGACAAAUCACAAGUCUGUGUUUGUGAUCUAACAUCAUGAGUCUGUGAUGAAAGUGAAACCCAAAAAUCCUAAACCUUAAGGAAUUGACGGGGAACCAUGUUCCAGAAAUUACGAAACAUUUGUUUCAGUACCUUUUAUACUCAAAAUCAUAUUCAUUUCUUUUGAGUGAUCUUAAUCAAACAUUCGAAAACUACGAUGUUUGUUCCCAACAAGAUCCAGCAUAAAUUUUUUUUAUGAAUAUGAUUUCUGUGUGAGUAUAUUUCGAAAAUUCUAGUUACUUUGAAUAUCAUUCGCAACCAAGUUGUCACUGACUACAUUGGUUAUACAACUAAUUUUGUUUACAAUUUAUCACCUUAUGUUAAGGUUGAUAUGUAACGAAAUUUUCGAAGCCACCCAUUUGCCCUAUAAAAGAAACCCUUCGAAACUUCUCUACAAGUUAUCGAUUGUAAUUCACGGGAAACCUAGCAAGCUGUCAAUUAUCUCUCUUGAUAAUUUUCGAAGAUAUCUUUGCC
rnacentral:lncRNA from 1 species